rfam:Gossypium hirsutum cultivar TM-1 chromosome 23, whole genome shotgun sequence
AUGCCGUGAUGAGGGCAAUUUCGUAGUAACUCCUUAAACCACUCCUAUGCCUCAGAUAAAGAUUUUCCAUAAAGUUGCUGAAAUGAAGUGAUUUCAUUUCAGAUAUU